GUCUGAAUAGCUCAACUGGCAGAGCGGUGUGUUGAUAACGCACAGGUUCCCCGUUCGAUCCGGGGUUCAGACACCA
rnacentral:tRNA from 1 species